CGCUCGUAGUCGGAUUUCGGGGCGGCUUCGUCGGUCUGCCGAUGGGUAUGCACUGACGCGGGCGUCCUUCCUUCCGGAGACGCGUCCUACUCUUAGCUGAGCGGGGCGUGGAGACGGAUCGUUUACUUUGAAAAAAUCAGAGUGUUUCAAGCAGGCAUCAUCGCUCUUGCAUGGAUUAGCAUGGGAUAAUGAAAUAGGACCUUGGUGCUAUUUUGUUGGUUUCGAGCACCGAAGUAAUGAUUAACAGGGACAGUCAGGGGCACUCGUAUUCCGCCGAGAGAGGUGAAAUUCUCAGACCAUCGGAAGACGAACCACUGCGAAAGCAUUUGCCAGGGAUGUUUUCACUGAUCAAGAACGAAAGUUAGGGGAUCGAAGACGAUCAGAUACCGUCGUAGUCUUAACCAUAAACCAUGCCGACUAGGGAUUGGAGGAUGUCCACUUUUGACUUCUUCGCCACCUUACGGGAAACUAAAGUCUUUGGGUUCCGGGGGGAG
rnacentral:rRNA from 1 species